rnacentral:rRNA from 1 species
UGGGGAAUAUUGGACAAUGGGGGGAACCCUGAUCCAGCCAUGCCGCGUGUGUGAAGAAGCCCUAAGGGUUGUAAAGCACUUUAAGCGAGGAGGAGGGUACUGGCAUUAAUACUACCAGGUACUGGACGUUACUCGCAGAAUAAGCACCGGCUAACUCUGUGCCAGCAGCCGCGGUAAUACAGAGGGUGCGAGCGUUAAUCGGAUUUACUGGGCGUAAAGCGUGCGUAGGCGGCUAAUUGAGUCGGAUGUGAAAUCCCCGGGCUUAACUUGGGAAUUGCAUUCGAUACUGGUUAGCUAGAGUGUGGGAGAGGAUGGUAGAAUUCCAGGUGUGGCGGUGAAAUGCGUAGAGAUCUGGAGGAAUACCGAUGGCGAAGGCAGCCAUCUGGCCUAACACUGACGCUGAGGUACGAAAGCAUGGGGAGCAAACAGG